CAAAGCAGAAAGUAUCUGAAAAAUAAACAAGAAGGGGUAUGACACGAGCUCCCCCCGAGACAUCGCUUAUAUGGAAAGUCCUCACUCGCAGACGAUAGGAUAAAGGGUGCUUUGUAAAGGACAAGAAGGGAAAACAGGGCAAAUGAUGACUUUGCAUAAAUGCACGUUAUGUCUUACACGCCAGUCUAUUUUCUAAGCGUCUAAAACUUCAGCUGACCUCGUGCAAGGAAACAUUUGCGAUUAUCCGUGGACAGGGCGAAGUGUGCCUUCCCCAGGCCUGGCGGGCGGGCCCUGCAGACGCCCCCUCCAGCUUUUCCAGACCUCAGCACUGAAAUCUCCGAGGAUCCCCAGUCUCUGUGUCUUGCCUCCACGAGCUCAAAAGCCACAGGGCUCUCCCACUGUCCCCCUGCACGACCCACUCUUGAGGAUGUUUCAAGUUCUGCCAGAUCGAGCUGCGUGUUCAAGGCGUGGUCUCGUCACACCCACCCAGGUGGGGCACAUGUUCUUUUGUCAUUCAAUGGGAAGAGAAAUAGAGAUUCUAAUAAAGCUGGAAAAAUGAUUUCAAGAUUUUGGAGACUUGAAGCCAUUAUUGAUGCACUAUUGAUCUCCAAACCCCCCAAGAAACUUCAAGAAGCAGACAGAGAAAACAACCACAAAACAAACAAAUCAACCAAACAUGCAACCUUCUUCGGAGGGCUGGUCUUAAGUGCUAAUCAAAUUGAGAUCGUAAUAAACAUGUGUUCACACGUGC